rnacentral:rRNA from 1 species
CAGUAGCCGCGGGAAAACGGAGGGUGCAAGCGUUAAUCGGAAUUACUGGGCGUAAAGCGUGCGCAGGCGGUUAUAUAAGACAGAUGUGAAAUCCCCGGGCUCAACCUGGGAACUGCAUUUGUGACUGUAUAGCUAGAGUACGGCAGAGGGGGAUGGAAUUCCGCGUGUAGCAGUGAAAUGCGUAGAUAUGCGGAGGAACACCGAUGGCGAAGGCAAUCCCCUGGGCCUGUACUGACGCUCAUGCACGAAAGCGUGGGGAGCAAACAGGAUUAGAUACCCGAGUAGUCCCUGUCUCUUAUAC